AUUUAAGUUGAGUUUUAGGAUUGAUUUGAUGAAAGUAAAUUGCUAAUAUUAUUAGCUAAUUAUGAAUUUUUAUUAAAUCAACUCUGAAACUCGAAUUCAAC
rfam:Gossypium raimondii Chr10_contig_170, whole genome shotgun sequence.